CUUAGUCGAUUAUUUUAAAAACAUAAAAGAAAAGAAUAAUAGAUUCAAGAAACUAAGAAUGAAGCAUGAAAAUUAUAAUAAAAUUAUUUUUUAUUAAUUAAAUAAAGAAGCAUACAUAAAGAAAAAGAAAUAAAAUUAUGAUACAAGAUAACUAAAUCAAGUUGAUCUUCUCGCUGCAUCCGAUAGUGGAUGUGUCUCUUUGAAUCCUUCAUCUUCCUCCAUGCAGGUAGUGACAGGAUGGUAGGAAGGCUUAGUCUAGGAACUCCAAGAAAGAAAAGUAGAUGGAAGCUGGUAUAUAGAAGAAAAAGGAUAGUGGCACUAGGAUUAGGACCUCUACUAGAUUUGAUGGGAUGUGAAAAAGAGAUCUGUGGAGGAAUAUGGUAUCGUGCUAGGGUUAGUACCUCCCCU
rnacentral:lncRNA from 1 species